CAGAGGGGGCAAGCGUUAUUCGGAAUUAUUGGGCGUAAAGGGCGCGUGGGCGGCCUUGCAAGUGACGGGUGAAAUCCCUCGGCUUAACCGAGGAACUGCCUGUCAGACUGCAUGGCUUGAGACCGGGAGAGGUGAGUGGAAUUCCCAGUGUAGCGGUGAAAUGCGUAGAUAUUGGGAGGAACACCAGUGGCGAAGGCGGCUCACUGGACCGGUACUGACGCUGAGGCGCGAAAGCGUGGGGAGCAAACAGGAUUAGAUACCCUGGUAGUCCACGCCGUAAACGAUGAGUGCUUGGUGUAGCGGGUAUCGACCCCUGCUGUGCCGAAGUCAACACAUUAAGCACUCCGCCUGGGGAGUACGGUCGCAAGACUG
rnacentral:rRNA from 1 species